UGCAGUCGACGGUAACGGGCCUUCGGGUGCCGACGAGUGGCGAACGGGUGASYAWUGCAUCGGAACGUACCUUUCAGUGGGGGAUAACGUAGCGAAAGUUACGCUAAUACCGCAUAUUCUGUGAGCAGGAAAGCAGGGGAUCGCAAGACCUUGCGCUGAUUGAGCGGCCGAUGUCAGAUUAGCUAGUUGGUGAGGUAAAGGCUCACCAAGGCGACGAUCUGUAGCGGGUCUGAGAGGAUGAUCCGCCACACUGGAACUGAGACGCGGUCCAGACUCCUACGGGAGGCAGCAGUGGGGAAUUUUGGACAAUGGGGGCAACCCUGAUCCAGCCAUGCCGCGUGAGUGAAGAAGGCCUUCGGGUUGUAAAGCUCUUUCGGCCGGGAAGAAAUCGCAUGGGUUAAUACCCUGUGGGAUGACGGUACCGGCAUAAGAAGCACCGGCUAACUACGUGCCAGCAGCCGCGGUAAUACGUAGGGUGCGAGCGUUAAUCGGAAUUACUGGGCGUAAAGCGUGCGCAGGCGGUUUUGUAAGACAGGCGUGAAAUCCCCGGGCUCAACCUGGGAACUGCGCUUGUGGCUGCAAGGCUAGAGUACGGCAGAGGGGGGUGGAAUUCCACGUGUAGCAGUGAAAUGCGUAGAGAUGUGGAGGAACACCAAUGGCGAAGGCAGCCCCCUGGGUCGAUACUGACGCUCAUGCACGAAAGCGUGGGUAGCAAACAGGAUUAGAUACCCUGGUAGUCCACGCCCUAAACGAUGUCAACUAGGUGUUGGGUGGGUAAAACCAUUUAGUACCGUAGCUAACGCGUGAAGUUGACCGCCUGGGGAGUACGGCCGCAAGGUUAAAACUCAAAGGAAUUGACGGGGACCCGCACAAGCGUGGAUGAUGUGGAUUAAUUCGAUGCAACGCGAAAAACCUUACCUACCCUUGACAUGUCAGAAACUUGGCAGAGAUGCCUUGGUGCCCGAAAGGGAAUCUGAUCACAGGUGCUGCAUGGCUGUCGUCAGCUCGUGUCGUGAGAUGUUGGGUUAAGUCCCGCAACGAGCGCAACCCUUGUCGUUAAUUGCCAUCAUUUAGUUGGGCACUUUAACGAGACUGCCGGUGACAAACCGGAGGAAGGUGGGGAUGACGUCAAGUCCUCAUGGCCCUUAUGGGUAGGGCUUCACACGUCAUACAAUGGUCGGUACAGAGGGUUGCCAAGCCGCGAGGUGGAGCCAAUCCCAGAAAGCCGAUYGURGUCCGGAUUGCAGGCUGCAACUCGCCUGCAUGAAGUCGGAAUCGCUAGUAAUCGCGGAUCAG
rnacentral:rRNA from 1 species